CUUAUUAUAUUAAAGGUUACUCCCUGUUCGUUAUAGCCUUCAUCUUAUUAUAUUAAAGGUUACUCCCUUGUUCGUUAUAGCCUUCAUCUUAUUAUAUUAAAGGUUACUCCCUUGUUCGUUAUAGCCUUCAUCUUAUUAUAUUAAAGGUUACUCCCUUGUUCGUUAUAGCCUUCAUCUUAUUAUAUUAAAGGUUACUCCCUUGUUCGUUAUAGCCUUCAUCUUAUUAUAUUAAAGGUUACUCCCUUGUUCGUUAUAGCCUUCAUCUUAUUAUAUUAAAGGUUACUCCCUGUUCGUUAUAGCCUUCAUCUUAUUAUAUUAAAGGUUACUCCCUGUUCGUUAUAGCCUUCAUCUUAUUAUAUUAAAGGUUACUCCCUGUUCGUUAUAGCCUUCAUCUUAUUAUAUUAAAGGUUACUCCCUGUUCGUUAUAGCCUUCAUCUUAUUAUAUUAAAGGUUACUCCCUGUUCGUUAUAGCCUUCAUCUUAUUAUAUUAAAGGUUACUCCCUGUUCGUUAUAGCCUUCAUCUUAUUAUAUUAAAGGUUACUCCCUGUUCGUUAUAGCCUUCAUCUUAUUAUAUUAAAGGUUACUCCCUUGUUCGUUAUAGCCUUCAUCUUAUUAUAUUAAAGGUUACUCCCUUGUUCGUUAUAGCCUUCAUCUUAUUAUAUUAAAGGUUACUCCCUUCUUCGUUAUUCGCUCAUUUUCCGUUUUUUCCACUGCAAGUGUGCAUAUUUAUCUA